GACGAACGCUGGCGGCGUGCUUAACACAUGCAAGUCGAACGGAAAGGCCCUGCUUUUGUGGGGUGCUCGAGUGGCGAACGGGUGAGUAACACGUGAGUAACCUGCCCUUGACUUUGGGAUAACUUCAGGAAACUGGGGCUAAUACCGGAUAGGAUCUCCUGCUGCAUGGUGGGGGUUGGAAAGUUUCGGCGGUUGGGGAUGGACUCGCGGCUUAUCAGCUUGUUGGUGGGGUAGUGGCUUACCAAGGCUUUGACGGGUAGCCGGCCUGAGAGGGUGACCGGCAACAUUGGGACUGAGAGACGGCACAGACUCCUACGGGAGGCAGCAGUGGGGAAUAUUGCACAAUGGGAGGAAGCCUGAUGCAGCAACGCCGCGUGCGGGAUGACGGCCUUCGGGUUGUAAACCGCUUUAGCAUGUGACGAAGCGUGAGUGACGGUAAUGGGUAAAGAAGCACCGGCUAACUACGUG
rnacentral:rRNA from 1 species